rnacentral:hammerhead_ribozyme from 1 species
GCACAGCUGAAGAGUUCCAUACUAGGACGAAACGGCCGUCCAAUGC